rnacentral:lncRNA from 1 species
AUGCUGAAGAAAAAUGCUUCAUUCCCUUUGUCAUUCAGGUGUACCCCAUCUCUAAGGUGGCUUCGUCUGAGGCACUUGUGAUUCCAAAAUCUAAUUAUGCUGUUUUCUCUGACAGAAGUUUAAUUAUAUUUUUCCUUCUAUUAUCAUAUUAGGAAAUUGACAUUCUUAUUGGUCUGAGUCUUGUAAUAAUGGAACCAGUGCCACUCCUUUCUGUUGAAUUUCAUCAGCUAAUUCAAGCAAGUUUUCAGCUAUGUCCUUUGCACUUGCUUCAAGUGUAAUAUCAUUAUCUCCAACCUGUCGAAACAUGUCAAAUUUUCAUAGUAAUUCUGUGGUUCGACCACCUUUGCCAUGGAUGUAGGAAUAAUAUCCCGACAAAAAAUCUGAAGAUGUGUCAGACACCCACUGAUUGAGGUCCCGAAGUAAACUGU